rnacentral:rRNA from 1 species
GACGAACGCUGGCGGCGUGCUUAACACAUGCAAGUCGAACGAAGAGCGAUGGACGCUUGCUUCUAUCAAUCUUAGUGGCGAACGGGUGAGUAACGCGUAAUCAACCUGCCCUUCAGAGGGGGACAACAGUUGGAAACGACUGCUAAUACCGCAUACGAUCGAAACUCGGCAUCGAGGAGAGAUGAAAGGUGGCCUCUACAGGUAAGCUAGCACAGAAGGGGGGGAGUGCGGCUGGUUGGCUAGUUGGAGGGGGAAGGGCCCACGAAGGCGAUGGUCUGUAGCCGGUCUGAGAGGAUGAACGGCCACAUUGGGACUGAGACACGGCCCAGACUCCUACGGGAGGCAGCCGUGGGGAAUCUUCCGCAAUGGACGAAAGUCUGACGGAGCAACGCCGCGUGAGUGAUGACGGCCUUCGGGUUGUAAAGCUCUGUUAAUCGGGACGAAAGGCCUUCUUGCGAAUAGUGAGAAGGAUUGACGGUACCGGAAUAGAAAGCCACGGCUAACUACGUG